UGGAAGAAUAUAAAUGAUGGUGUGGAUGUC
rnacentral:piRNA from 1 species